GACGAACGCUGGCGGCGUGCUUAACACAUGCAAGUCGAACGGAAAGGCCCUGCUUGCAGGGUACUCGAGUGGCGAACGGGUGAGUAACACGUGGGUGAUUUGCCCUGCACUUCGGGAUAAGCCUGGGAAACUGGGUCUAAUACCGGAUAGGAGCCAUUUUUAGUGUGAUGGUUGGAAAGUUUUUUCGGUGUAGGAUGAGCUCGCGGCCUAUCAGCUUGUUGGUGGGGUAAUGGCCUACCAAGGCGGCUACGGGUAGCCGGCCUGAGAGGGUGGACGGCCACAUUGGGACUGAGAUACGGCCCAGACUCCGACGGGAGGCAGCAGUGGGGAAUAUUGCACGAUGGGCGCAAGCCUGAUGCAGCGACGCCGCGUGGGGGAUGACGGCCUUCGGGUUGUAAACUCCUUUCGCUAGGGACGAAGCUUUUUGUGACGGUACCUAGAUAAGAAGCACCGGCUAACUACGUG
rnacentral:rRNA from 1 species